rnacentral:rRNA from 1 species
AUACGGAGGGUGCAAGCGUUAAUCGGAAUUACUGGGCGUAAAGCGUACGUAGGCGGCAAGUUAAGUUAGAUGUGAAAGCCCCGGGCUCAACCUGGGAACUGCAUUUAAAACUGGCUUGCUAGAGUUGAGUAGAGGGGAGUGGAAUUUCAGGUGUAGCGGUGAAAUGCGUAGAGAUCUGAAGGAACACCAGUGGCGAAGGCGACUCCCUGGACUCGAACUGACGCUGAGGUACGAAAGCGUGGGUAGCAAACGGGAUUAGAAACCCCAGUAGUCC